rnacentral:rRNA from 1 species
GACGAACGCUGCGUGCGUGCUUAACACAUGCAAGUCGAACGGAAAGGCCCUGCUUUUGUGGGGUGCUCGAGUGGCGAACGGGUGAGUAACACGUGAGUAACCUGCCCUUGACUUUGGGAUAACUUCAGGAAACUGGGGCUAAUACCGGAUAGGAGCUCCUGCUGCAUGGUGGGGGUUGGAAAGUUUCGGCGGUUGGGGAUGGACUCGCGGCUUAUCAGCUUGUUGGUGGGGUAGUGGCUUACCAAGGCUUUGACGGGUAGCCGGCCUGAGAGGGUGACCGGCCACAUUGGGACUGAGAUACGGCCCAGACUCCUACGGGAGGCAGCAGUGGGGAAUAUUGCACAAUGGGCGGAAGCCUGAUGCAGCAACGCCGCGUGCGGGAUGACGGCCUUCGGGUUGUAAACCGCUUUCGCCUGUGACGAAGCGUGAGUGACGGUAAUGGGUAAAGAAGCACCGGCUAACUACGUGCCAGCAGCCGCGGUGAUACGUAGGGUGCGAGCGUUGUCCGGAUUUAUUGGGCGUAAAGGGCUCGUAGGUGGUUGAUCGCGUCGGAAGUGUAAUCUUGGGGCUUAACCCUGAGCGUGCUUUCGAUACGGGUUGACUUGAGGAAGGUAGGGGAGAAUGGAAUUCCUGGUGGAGCGGUGGAAUGCGCAGAUAUCAGGAGGAACACCAGUGGCGAAGGCGGUUCUCUGGGCCUUUCCUGACGCUGAGGAGCGAAAGCGUGGGGAGCGAACAGGCUUAGAUACCCUGGUAGUCCACGCUGUAAACGGUGGGUACUAGGUGUGGGGUCCAUUCCACGGGUUCCGUGCCGUAGCUAACGCUUUAAGUACCCCGCCUGGGGAGUACGGCCGCAAGGCUAAAACUCAAAGGAAUUGACGGGGCCCCGCACAAGCGGCGGAGCAUGCGGAUUAAUUCGAUGCAACGCGUAGAACCUUACCUGGGUUUGACAUGGAUCGGGAGUGCUCAGAGAUGGGUGUGCCUCUUUUGGGGUCGGUUCACAGGUGGUGCAUGGCUGUCGUCAGCUCGUGUCGUGAGAUGUUGGGUUAAGUCCCGCAACGAGCGCAACCCUUGUUCACUGUUGCCAGCACGUUAUGGUGGGGACUCAGUGGAGACCGCCGGGGUCAACUCGGAGGAAGGUGGGGAUGACGUCAAGUCAUCAUGCCCCUUAUGUCCAGGGCUUCACGCAUGCCACAAUGGCUGGUACAGAGAGUGGCGAGCCUGUGAGGGUGAGCGAAUCUCGGAAAGCCGGUCUCAGUUCGGAUUGGGGUCUGCAACUCGACCUCAUGAAGUCGGAGUCGCUAGUAAUCGCAGAUCAGCAACGCUGCGGUGAAUACGUUCCCGGG